AGAGAUGAGGAAAGGUAUUGCAUUACAAACUCCGCGACUGCGCACAGUCGCGCCAUCCCCGAGAACUACAGAAAAGGUUGUGGUAUGUUCCACCUUUAGUUUCAGAUUUUGGGCAACAUGUUCCGCAAUAAAACAAUGGCUAGCGCCACUAUCCACCAUUGUUAGCAGUCGUCGUUCUCCCACUUUACUAAACAACUCCAGUGUUUGGGCUCCACCAAACCCAUUG
rnacentral:lncRNA from 1 species